AGCGAACGCUGGCGGCAGGCCUAACACAUGCAAGUCGAACGAACUCUUCGGAGUUAGUGGCGGACGGGUGAGUAACACGUGGGAACGUGCCUUUAGGUUCGGAAUAACUCAGGGAAACUUGUGCUAAUACCGAAUGUGCCCUUCGGGGGAAAGAUUUAUCGCCUUUAGAGCGGCCCGCGUCUGAUUAGCUAGUUGGUGAGGUAAAGGCUCACCAAGGCGACGAUCAGUAGCUGGUCUGAGAGGAUGAUCAGCCACAUUGGGACUGAGACACGGCCCAAACUCCUACUGGAGGCAGCAGUGGGGAAUCUUGCGCAAUGGGCGAAAGCCUGACGCAGCCAUGCCGCGUGAAUGAUGAAGGUCUUAGGAUUGUAAAAUUCUUUCACCGGGGACGAUAAUGACGGUACCCGGAGAAGAAGCCCCGGCUAACUUCGUG
rnacentral:rRNA from 1 species